rnacentral:rRNA from 1 species
AAGCGGAGGAAAAGAAACCAACAGGGAUUGCCCUAGUAACGGCGAGCGAAGCGGCAACAGCUCAAAUUUGAAAUCUGGCUACUUUGUAGUCCGAGUUGUAAUUUGUAGAGGAUGCUUUUGGUGAGGUGCCUUCCGAGUUCCCUGGAACGGGACGCCAGAGAGGGUGAGAGCCCCGUACGGUUGGAUACCAAACCUUUGUAUAGCUCCUUCAACGAGUCGAGUAGUUUGGGAAUGCUGCUCUAAAUGGGAGGUAUAUCUCUUCUAAAGCUAAAUAUAGGCUAGAGACCGAUAGCGCACAAGUAGAGUGAUCGAAAGAUGAAAAGCACUUUGAAAAGAGAGUUAAACAGCACGUGAAAUUGUUGAAAGGGAAGCGCCUAUGACCAGACUUGUUUCUUUCAGUUUUGUUAGUUCUCGGACUGAUUUACUCUGUUAGUACAGGCCAGCAUCAGUUUGUUGUCGGGGAGAAAGGCUUAGGGAAUGUGGCUCCUUCGGGAGUGUUAUAGCCCUUUGCAUAAUACCCUUCGGCAGACUGAGGACCGCGCUUCGGCAAGGAUGCUGGCGUAAUGGUCAUCAGCGACCCGUCUUGAAACACGGACCAAGGAGUCAACCUUAUGUGCGAGUGUUUGGGUGUAAAACCCCAGCGCGUAAUGAACGUGAACGUAGGUGAGAGCUUCGGCGCAUCAUCGACCGAUUCUGAUGUUCUCGGAUGGAUUUGAGUAAGAGCACACAGGGUUGGACCCGAAAGAAGGUGAACUAUGCUUGUAUAGGGUGAAGCCAGAGGAAACUCUGGUGGAGGCUCGCAGCGGUUCUGACGUGCAAAUCGAUCGUCAAAUAUGAGCAUGGGGGCGAAAGACUAAUCGAACCUUCUAGUAGC